UACGUAGGUGGCAAGCGUUGUCCGGAUUUACUGGGCGUAAAGGGCGUGCAGGCGGUUUGUUAAGUGCAGGGUGAAAGCUCCCGGCUCAACUGGGAGAGGUCCUUGCAUACUGGCGAACUCGAGGGAGGCAGAGGAAAGUGGAAUUCCCGGUGUAGUGGUGAAAUGCGUAGAGAUCGGGAGGAACACCUGUGGCGAAGGCGGCCCCCUGGGCCGGCCCUGACACUGAGACGCGAAGGCGUGGGGAGCGAACGGG
rnacentral:rRNA from 1 species